GAUGAACGCUAGCGGCAGGCUUAAUACAUGCAAGUCGAGGGGCAGCAGGGGUGUAGCAAUACACUCGCUGGCGACCGGCAAACGGGUGCGGAACACGUACGCAACUUACCCAUAACUGGGGGAUAGCCCGGGGAAACCCGGAUUAAUACCUCGUAACAUUGUGGAGUGGCAUCACUCUACAAUUAUAGCUCCGGCGGUUAUGGAUGGGCGUGCGGCUGAUUAGGUAGUUGGCGGGGUACGGCCCACCAAGCCUGCGAUCAGUAACUGGUGUGAGAGCACGAACAGUCACACCGGCACUGCGACACGGGUCCGACUCCUACGGGAGGCAGCAGUAACGAAUAUUGGUCAAUGGACGCAAGUCUGAACCAGCCAUGUCGCGUGAAGGAUGAAGGUCCUCUGGAUUGUAAACUUCUUUUAUAUGGGACGAACCCCGGGUAUUCCUACCCGAUUGACGGUACCAUAGGAAUAAGCACCGGCUAACUCCGUGCCAGCCGCCGCAGUAACAC
rnacentral:rRNA from 1 species